CACGUAGGGCGCAAGCGUUGUCCGGAAUUAUUGGGCGUAAAGAGCUCGUAGGCGGUCUGUUACGUCUGCUGUGAAAACCCAGGGCUUAACCCUGGGCUUGCAGUGGAUACGGGCAGACUAGAGGCAGGUAGGGGAGAAUGGAAUUCCCGGUGUAGCGGUGAAAUGCGCAGAUAUCGGGAGGAACACCGGUGGCGAAGGCGGUUCUCUGGACCGCAACUGACGCUGAGACGCGAAAGCGUGGGGAGCAAACAGG
rnacentral:rRNA from 1 species